rnacentral:tRNA from 1 species
ACUUUUUAAUGUUAUCAUUAUCUGUUUUUUCAUAUAAAACAACAAUAUGAGUUCUAAGCUCAUGAAAAGUAC